AAUAAAUCAUCGAACUAAAAUUUUAGAAAUGAUGAUAAAAGAGCAUAACAAACAUAUUGCUAGAAAGGUGAAAUAUAUAUUGAUUUUGCAUAUUUUUUUGUCUUCAAAGAUGAUUUUUUUUUCUUUUUUUUUUCCCGACCGACCGACCCGACUUUUUCAUGGGGAAAAUCCGUAAACCAACAAAUUAAAAAACCGUGGCCUA
rnacentral:lncRNA from 1 species